CCAUCACUGAUGCUUCCUAUGUCUGAUUGUAUGCAAACUCAGAGAGCUUCCUUGUUCCUCAGCUAUAAAAACUCUCCAUCAGGCUGUCAGUGGAGUUCACAGCACCUCACUUUCAACAUCAAGCAUGUUUUCUGGAGCUCUGCUGCUGCUGCUGGCAGCUGGAUGUGUCAGCAGUAUUGAUCUCAUCCAGCCAGGAUCAAUGGUUGUGCAGCCUGGACAGACUCUGACCAUCACCUGUCAGCUCUCUGGUUACUCUAUCACUGUUAACAGCUAUGCUACAGGCUGGAUCAGACAGCCUGCAGGGAGAGGACUGGAGUGGAUCUCUAGCACUGCUGAUGGUAGUACUGCUGAAAAAAAUGCUCUGAAGAACAAGUUCAGUCUCAGCAGAGACACUUCUGCUGGAACAGCGACUCUCACAGGACAGAACAUGCAGCCUGCAGACUCUUCUUUGUAUUACUGUUAG